UACGUAGGGUGCGAGCGUUGUCCGGAAUUAUUGGGCGUAAAGGGCUCGUAGGCGGUUUGUCGCGUCGGGAGUGAAAACAUCUAGCUUAACUGGGUGCUUGCUUUCGAUACGGGCAGACUAGAGGUAUGCAGGGGAGAACGGAAUUCCUGGUGUAGCGGUGAAAUGCGCAGAUAUCUGGAGGAACACCGGUGGCGAAGGCGGCAUCCUGGACCGACACUGACGCUGAGGAGCGAAAGCCAGGGGAGCAAAGCGGG
rnacentral:rRNA from 1 species